AUUUCUUUGCGUCUAAAAAUGUUUUGAGAGUUUUUUUUGCCACGACUGCACCCUGAGACAAAGUCAGUGUUUGUCACAACGUUCACGUUGAACCUGGCAGGAAGACAGGCUGAGCCACGAAAGGUGGAUGGCUGGACCCGGAUUUGGGCACAAUUGUAACCCUAAGAUGGGUAACGGGGACUCAAUUGUUGGAAUGGUAUUGAAACCUUCCCUGGAACACUUGUGCAUUUCUCGCAAGAAUAUAAAAUGAUGUAGCUGCCUUUUGAAACUGUUUGGCAUCUAAUCAACUAAACAGAGUCACUACUGUAUGGCCCAGGAACCCCACUCCUGGGUAUUUAUCUAAAGGAAUAAAAACCUUGACUCCCCACAAAAAUCUCUACACAACUGUUUAUAAAAGAAUUGUAACAGUAGCUCCAAAUCGACUUUGAAUAAAUAAAGAAAAUGUGGUCUACUUUUACAAUGGACUGUCACUUCAAAACAGGAAUGAAGUAUGGAUUCCCGAACUGCCAUCAGAGAGACCUUGGAUAGAUUGCACUCUGUGAAAGAAGUGGACUCAGAAGGUCACACACUGUCUAAUCUGCCUUAUGUGAAAGGUCCAGAAUAGGCAACUCUGCAGAUGCAGGAAGCAGGAAGCUGUGCCAGACCUGGGGGGAAGGUGUGAGAAGGAAGUGAAGUGAGUGUGAAUUGGCUGCUGCUGCUUUGGAAGUGACCAAGAUGUUCUGGAAUAGUGAUGACAUCUAAGCCCUGGAAUGAAUCAAAGCCCACCAGGGUGAAUUUUAUGGCCUGAGAAUUUCAUCUCAAUAAAACAUUUUUGUUUGUU
ensembl:antisense Plet1os placenta expressed transcript 1, opposite strand